rnacentral:rRNA from 1 species
UAAUACGGAGGAUCCGAGCGUUAUCCGGAUUUACUGGGUUUAAAGGGUGCGUAGGCUGGCGGCUAAGUCGGCGGUGAAAUGCAGCGGCUCAACCGUUGCCCUGCCGUCGAAACUGGCCGCCUUGAAUUCGGUCGAGGCCGGCGGAAUGCGCGGUGUAGCGGUGAAAUGCUUAGAUAUCGCGCGGAACGCCGAUUGCGGAGGCAGCCGGCUGGUCCGAUAUUGACGCUGAUGCACGACAGCGUGGGGAUCGAACAGG